GACGUAGGGGGCCAGCGUUGCUCGGAAUUACUGGGCGUAAAGGGUCUGUAGGCGGUGCGGCAAGUCGGGAGUGAAAUCUCUGGGCUUAACCCAGAGGCUGCUUCCGAAACUGCCGUGCUCGAGUGCGGGAGAGGCGAGUGGAAUUGCCGGUGUAGCGGUGAAAUGCGUAGAUAUCGGCAGGAACACCCGUGGCGAAGGCGGCUCGCUGGACCGCAACUGACGCUGAGAGACGAAAGCUAGGGGAGCAAACAGG
rnacentral:rRNA from 1 species